AACGAACGCUGGCGGCAGGCUUAACACAUGCAAGUCGAGCGCCCCGCCAGGGGAGCGGCAGCCGGGUGAGUAACGCGUGGGAACGUACCUUUUGGUUCGGAACAACUCCGGGAAACUGGAGCUAAUACCGGAUAAGCCCUAACGGGGAAAGAUUUAUCGCCGAAAGAUCGGCCCGCGUCUGAUUAGCUAGUUGGUGAGGUAACGGCUCACCAAGGCGACGAUCAGUAGCUGGUCUGAGAGGAUGAUCAGCCACACUGGGACUGAGACACGGCCCAGACUCCUACGGGAGGCAGCAGUGGGGAAUAUUGGACAAUGGGCGCAAGCCUGAUCCAGCCAUGCCGCGUGAGUGAUGAAGGCCUUAGGGUUGUAAAGCUCUUUUGUCCGGGAAGAUAAUGACGGUACCGGAAGAAUAAGCCCCGGCUAACUUCGUG
rnacentral:rRNA from 1 species